GCCUGUGUAGCUUCAAAUGGAAGAGCACCUGCCUUGUAAGCAGGGGGUUGGAGGUUCGAUUCCUCUCAUGGGCUCCA
rnacentral:tRNA from 1 species